UGGGACUUCUUACUCCUCGCACGCACGGGUGAGUAACACGUGGGUAAUCUUCCUCUGAGUCUGGGAUAACUUUCCGAAAGGGAACUAAUACUGGAUGGUCCCGAGAGAUCAUAAGAUUUUUCUGGUAAAGAUUUAUUGCUUGGAUAUGAGCCCGCGUCCGAUUACCUUGUUGGUGAGGUAAAGGCUCACCAAGGCCACGAUCGGUAUCCGGCCUGAGAGGGUGUUCGGCCACAAUGGAACUGAAACACGGUCCAUACUCCUACUGGAGGCAGCAGUUAAAAAUCUUGCUCAAUGGGGGGAACCCUGAAUCAGCGACACCGCGUGAACGAUUAAGGUCUUCGGAUUGUAAAGUUCAAUAAGCACGGAAAAAUAAGCAGAAAUGUGAUGAUCGUACCUGCCUAAAGCACCGGCUAACUACCUGCCACCACCCGCGGUAAUACGUAGGGUGCAUGCGUUGUUCGGAAUCAUUGGGCGUAAAGGGUGCGUAAAGCAAAGAAAAAAUGAUGCUAU
rnacentral:rRNA from 1 species